GCUAGCUACAGGCUUAACACAUGCAAGUCGAGGGGCAGCAUCAUCAAAGCUUGCUUUGAUGGAUGGCGACCGGCGCACGGGUGAGUAACACGUAUCCAACCUGCCGACAACACUGGGAUAGCCUUUCGAAAGAAAGAUUAAUACCGGAUGGCAUAAUUAUUCCGCAUGGGAUAAUUAUUAAAGAAUUUCGGUUGUCGAUGGGAAUGCGUUCCAUUAGGCAGUUGGCGGGGUAACGGCCCACCAAACCUACGAUGGAUAGGGGUUCUGAGAGGAAGGUCCCCCACAUUGGAACUGAGACACGGUCCAAACUCCUACGGGAGGCAGCAGUGAGGAAUAUUGGUCAAUGGACGAGAGUCUGAACCAGCCAAGUAGCGUGAAGGAUGACUGCCCUAUGGGUUGUAAACUUCUUUUAUACGGGAAUAAAGUGAGCCACGUGUGGCUUUUUGUAUGUACCGUAUGAAUAAGGAUCGGCUAACUCCGUGCCAGCAGCCGCGGUAAUACGGAGGAUCCGAGCGUUAUCCGGAUUUAUUGGGUUUAAAGGGAGCGUAGGCGGGUUGUUAAGUCAGUUGUGAAAGUUUGCGGCUCAACCGUAAAAUUGCAGUUGAUACUGGCGACCUUGAGUGCAACAGAGGUAGGCGGAAUUCGUGGUGUAGCGGUGAAAUGCUUAGAUAUCACGAAGAACUCCGAUUGCGAAGGCAGCUUACUGGAUUGUAACUGACGCUGAUGCUCGAAAGUGUGGGUAUCAAACAGGAUUAGAUACCCUGGUAGUCCACACAGUAAACGAUGAAUACUCGCUGUUGGCGAUAUACAGUCAGCGGCCAAGCGAAAGCAUUAAGUAUUCCACCUGGGGAGUACGCCGGCAACGGUGAAACUCAAAGGAAUUGACGGGGGCCCGCACAAGCGGAGGAACAUGUGGUUUAAUUCGAUGAUACGCGAGGAACCUUACCCGGGCUUAAAUUGCAACUGACGGAACCGGAAACGGCUCUUUCUUCGGACAGUUGUGAAGGUGCUGCAUGGUUGUCGUCAGCUCGUGCCGUGAGGUGUCGGCUUAAGUGCCAUAACGAGCGCAACCCUUACGGGUAGUUACCAUCAGGUUAUGCUGGGGACUCUACCCGGACUGCCGUCGUAAGAUGUGAGGAAGGUGGGGAUGACGUCAAAUCAGCACGGCCCUUACGUCCGGGGCUACACACGUGUUACAAUGGGGGGUACAGAAGGCAGCUACACGGCGACGUGGUGCUAAUCCCAAAAGCCUCUCUCAGUUCGGAUUGGAGUCUGCAACCCGACUCCAUGAAGCUGGAUUCGCUAGUAAUCGCGCAUCAGCCAUGGCGCGGUGAAUACGUUCCCGGGCCUUGUACACACCGCCCGUCAAGCCAUGAAAGCCGGGGGUACCUGAAGUACGUAACCGCGAGGAGCGUCCUAGGGUAAAACUGGUGAU
rnacentral:rRNA from 1 species